rnacentral:pre_miRNA from 1 species
UAUUAAAAAAUUCAUACGUUUGUACUGUUAAAAAUUGACGUGAUUAACAAAAUAAUCAGAUUAACAUUGUGUGUGCCAUAUGUAUAUCAUGCUAAUGUAAGGAGACUAAUUUUUAAUAAUAGAAAUAAAUAAAUAUUUUAUAA